CCCAAAAUGCCCCCAGACCCCCCCCAAAUUGAACCCCCCAAUUUAUUCCCCCCCCUCCAGCGCUUGCCUCCACCUGGCCGAGAUGCAGCAUCCGGUGCGGAAGGCGCUGGCAGAGUGCGAGCGGCUGCUGCUGGCACGGGGAGUCAAUCUGUGGAGGGGAAAGGGGAGGAUAUUUUUCCUUACUUGCUUACUCUCCCUUUCUCCUUCACCCCCCCUGUAUCCUCCUGGAUCACUCUGCCUUCCUCCUUCACCACUCUCUUAUCCCCUGAGCUUGUCAAAAUAGCUCUCCAAGAUAUUGAAUAUUUCUGGAAUACUCAGAAUACCAUAGUCUUGUUGUUCUGCCUCAUGAAUGCACUUCAGAUUCUGCUUAAAGUUAAACAACUACUUGGGGAGCUCAUCUGGAGAUCUGCCCGGAGGCAGGAUAGUUGUGGGUGGCAGGGAGUAUGGGCGGAUAUGGGCAGGCAUCUAGAGCAGUUGGCACCCCCAGUGUGUUGGAAAUUCACCCCUGAACAAUGGCAAAAUCCUCAAAAACUGGCAGAAUGCUUGAAAAAAAGGUGUCAUGAUUCUGGCAGUUCCAAAGUAACACAAAUCAUUGUAACGUGCUGGGGCCUGGCUCAUGCCUAUCGAGCUGCCAUUGAUACUGCUAUCAACUUAGUGACAGACCCUGCGGCACUCCAAGCCCUGUGACAGAUCCAACGGCCACUGUGACCCCUACGGUGGAUUCUGCAGCCGCUCCAGCCCCAGCUCCUGCAGCCACUCCAGAUCCGGUUCCUGCAGCUGCUCCAGCUCCAGCUCCAGCUCCUGCAGCUGCUCCAGUCCCAGUCCUGCAGUGCUCCAUCCCAGCUCCGCAGCCGCUCAAGCUCCUGCAGCCGCUCCAGCUCCAGCUCCUACUGCUGCUCCAGUCCCAGCUCCUGCAACUGCUCCAGCUCCAGCUCCUGUAGCCGCUACAGCUCCAGUUCCUGCAACUGCUCCAGCUCCUGCAGCCGCUCCAGCUCCUUUGGCCGUGUCAGAGAAACGAGCUGUAGCAGUGCAAGUUGACCCUGCAGAGGGUAUUCCAACCUCUGUGGCAGACCCUGUAACAAGUCAGAGA
rnacentral:lncRNA from 1 species